rnacentral:rRNA from 1 species
GACGAACGCUGGCGGCGUGCUUAACACAUGCAAUUCGAACGGAAAGGCCCUGCUUUUGUGGGGUGCUCGAGUGGCUAACUGGUGAUUAACCCGUGAGUAACCUGCCCUUGACUUUGGGAUAACUUCAGGAAACUGGGGCUAAUACCGGAUAGGAGCUCCUGCUGCAUGGUGGGGGUUGGAAAGUUUCGGCGGUUGGGGAUGGACUCGCGGCUUAUCAGCUUGUUGGUGGGGUAGUGGCUUACCAAGGCUUUGACGGGUAGCCGGCCUGAGAGGGUGACCGGCCACAUUGGGACUGAGAUACGGCCCAGACUCCUACGGGAGGCAGCAGUGGGGAAUAUUGCAAAAUGGGCGGAAGCCUGAUGCAGCAACGCCGCGUGCGGGAUGACGGCCUUCGGGUUGUAAACCGCUUUCGCCUGUGACGAAGCGUGAGUGACGGUAAUGGGUAAAGAAGCACCGGCUAACUACGUG